CGCUGGCGGCGUGCCUAAUACAUGCAAGUCGAACGGUCUUUCUAUGGAAGCUUGCUUCCACUGAGAAGAUAGUGGCGAACGGGUGAGUAACACGUGGGUAACCUGCCCAUAAGAGGGGGAUAACAUCCGGAAACGGGUGCUAAUACCGCAUAGUUUUCUUGAUCGCAUGAUCGGGAAAGGAAAGACGGCCUUUGUGCUGUCGCUUAUGGAUGGACCCGCGGCGUAUUAGUUAGUUGGUGAGGUAAUGGCUCACCAAGACGAUGAUACGUAGCCGACCUGAGAGGGUGAUCGGCCACAUUGGGACUGAGACACGGCCCAAACUCCUACGGGAGGCAGCAGUAGGGAAUCUUCCGCAAUGGACGAAAGUCUGACGGAGCAACGCCGCGUGAGUGAAGAAAGGUUUUCGGAUCGUAAAACUCUGUUGUCAGAGAAGAACAAGUUGGAGAGUAACUGCUCCAGCCUUGACGGUAUCUGACCAGAAAGCCACGGCUAACUACGUGCCAGCCGCAGC
rnacentral:rRNA from 1 species